AACGAGCGCAACCCUUCGUCUUUAGUUUGUCCAUCAUUCUAGUUGGGCACUCUAAAGAGACUGCCGGUGUCAAACCGGAGGAAGGUGGGGAUGACGUCAAGUCCUCAUGGCCUUUAUGACCAGGGCUACACACGUACUACAAUGGCCGGUACAAAGGGCAGCCACUUAGCGAUAAGGAGCCAAUCCCGUAAAGCCGGUCUCAGUCCGGAUUGGAGUCUGCAACUCGACUCCAUGAAGUUGGAAUCGCUAGUAAUCGCAGAUCAGCACGCUCGCGGUCGAAUACGUUCCGGGCCUU
rnacentral:rRNA from 1 species